UGCUUUGCUGACGAGUGGCGGACGGGUGAGUAAUGUCUGGGAAACUGCCUGAUGGAGGGGGAUAACUACUGGAAACGGUAGCUAAUACCGCAUAACGUCGCAAGACCAAAGAGGGGGACCUUCGGGCCUCUUGCCAUCGGAUGUGCCCAGAUGGGAUUAGCUAGUAGGUGGGGUAACGGCUCACCUAGGCGACGAUCCCUAGCUGGUCUGAGAGGAUGACCAGCCACACUGGAACUGAGACACGGUCCAGACUCCUACGGGAGGCAGCAGUGGGGAAUAUUGCACAAUGGGCGCAAGCCUGAUGCAGCCAUGCCGCGUGUAUGAAGAAGGCCUUCGGGUUGUAAAGUACUUUCAGCGGGGAGGAAGGCGAUGAGGUUAAUAACCUUGUCGAUUGACGUUACCCGCAGAAGAAGCACCGGCUAACUCCGUGCCAGCAGCCGCGGUAAUACGGAGGGUGCAAGCGUUAAUCGGAAUUACUGGGCGUAAAGCGCACGCAGGCGGUCUGUCAAGUCGGAUGUGAAAUCCCCGGGCUCAACCUGGGAACUG
rnacentral:rRNA from 1 species